rnacentral:lncRNA from 1 species
UACAAUUACUUACUCAUCAAUUAACUCGAUUAAGGAAUCAAAAAGUUAGAAAAACCAAUUCACCCCCCCUCUUGGCUUGUCACCUUGGGCAACAAGUGAUAUCAGAGCAAGGUGCUCUCAUAGUAUUUGUUGAUCUCACCAUCAAGAGUCAAAGAUCAUGACAACCCAAGUAGGAUGUUCUAUGAACGAGGGGCAAUCCACAAAUAGACCUCCUCUGUUUAAUGGCACUAAUUACACAUA